UCCUGUCAUCCACAUUCUUACCCCGCAAGACAAACAAUAUAUUUCAUAAAUAAAGUCUGCAAAAUGUAUUUGUACAAUAAAUACGCAAACUGCAAAUGUCAAAAAGAAUAAUUAUGAAUAAUUUGUAAUUAUCAACUAUUAAAUCAGAUAUAUAUCAGUUAAAGUUAAAUAACGAAGCUGUCCAAGGAGGAGCAUCAAUUUGCUAGGUACCCUCCUCCUCCUUUACGAAAACAAUAGUAUAAUGCAUUAGCAUUUGACAAUCAAAUUUAACAGAAGUCUAUCAACGUUUAUCAGAUUUAUUGUAUUUAUGACGGGAACUUUGCGUCUUCUUGGUAAAGGUCUUCAAAUUCAGUUUCAUAUAAAAAGCAUAUACUGUCACGGCACAUCUAAUGUUGAUAUCCAUGAAAAGUUGCAAUGGACACCUUUUUAUGCAAGAUUCUGAAAAGAGAAUAGGACAAUGGCAAAUUAUUUUUGCAAGCUUCUAUAUAUGAUGAAUUAGAUCCAAUUGUAUAGGCUUAUAUAGUGUUCCUUAUUUCAAGUUUAUGAACUUUAU
rnacentral:lncRNA from 1 species